GUGUAGAGGCGCAUGUAUCAUCAGUAGGGUUUUGGACGGAUAAGGUCGGAGGAUGAAGCUUGAAAGGGAUGCGUGCCGAAGAGGGAUAUUACCUUAUGAAUAUCCUGUCUGGACGUAUGGUUAACAGCCAUGCGGCUGUCACCUUAAUAUUGAUCGAUCCGUUAGAAUCAAAGAACGGAUAUGGUCGUCAGGUGGAGUGCUACAAG
rnacentral:ncRNA from 1 species